rnacentral:lncRNA from 1 species
GUUUCUCCAAGCCCUCAGACUUGUAACCUGAGACAAAAGCCCUCUCUUUCUCUCGCUCUUCUCUUCCCACUCUGCCAGCUGAAGUACUGGUUUUCACAGGAUGGAUUGAUGAUAUUCCUGCUUACACAAACUAUGGGUGGCAACUGAGCCUUCCAGUCUGUAACUGUCUGAACUCAAACAGUCCUAAUAUUAAUAUUCUUAAUGGCAAGGCUUUCAUUUUGGUUUCUUUUCCGUGGCCUGAGACUUAUCCCUCAUUCUCCAGUUACUGAUACAUAUCUGAUGUGCGCCCAGCAGGUAACUGCUAGGAGUCACACUAGGUCAAGCUCACUUUGAAAAAAGGGAGAAGGGUUAAAGGGAGGAAAGGAAAACUCCAUUUCUCACAUCUCUUCAUCCUGUCCCAGCUUUAUUCAGUAUCACUCAGCCCACAGUAAUUUCUUUAAUCAAGUUUACCAAAACUGCCGCUAUCUUUCCUUUGCUUUUUAUGUGGCUCAACUCAGACAUGACAUGGAGUUUUUAUAGUGAAUCUGUGCUAGCAAUGUAGUGCAGACGUUCAUUUCCCCAGAUCCCUCGGGGCGGCAGGCACAGCUUUGCUGAGGUGUCUGGGGGAUGGGAGCUGUUGUGCAGGAGGAGGCACAUAACACUGCUGGGUCCUGUGAACUUGCCCCCCAGUUCACAGGACCCACACCCACAUGUCCUGUGGCUCAGGGGCUCUGGGCUGCUCCAUACCUCAGAGACAGAAGUUUGCAGGUGUAAGUUGCUGGAAGCUGCCCAGGGGUAUCUCAGUUUUGCAGCACGUGAUAUGGACUGAAUGGAGCAUGCAACUGUAUGCCAGCAGGGUCCUGAAAUACCAUUUUGGGCAGUUCCUGCUGACUUACAGCUUCCUAUGGCUGAAGAUCUGAAUUAUCCAGCUUUUCCAGCAGCACAGUCCUGGUGCCAGACGUGUGAUAUAGUUCGAGCAUGGGAGCCAUACUUAAUCUGCUUAUCACCAUCGUGAAGCUAAGUGUCACAGGUUGGCCAGCCCCACGCUGGGUGUAGGAUUGGCUUUCUGACGUUGUUUCUCAUGUAUCACCAUUGCAAAGCCUGUGCCUGAGCACGUCUUCUGGUGAGGUGAGGGUGCAGAGGGAUCCAGCCAAGUCAGCCCAUUUGAGCAAAUGGAGAGCAGGAUUUACAGCAGCCAGCAUGCUGAGUAAGAAACACUUGGGAGGUUUGAGAGCCCUCUGGGAGCUGUGCCCUUCCUGGGAGUCAGCACAUAACGGAGAUCCAAAGUCGUACCAGGAUUUAAAUCUCUUCAGUUGGAGGGCCACAGUGCCAGAGUGAGGGCAGUCCUCCAUGAAACACAGCCUCAAGAGGAGGCAGAUGUAUGCCCAGAUCUGUAGAAAAUAGACUCAUCAUUCAAGUGCUCUUCCAAUGUGGGUGAGGUGUGGUACCUAGUUGGCUGGAUGAGCUCAAGUUCAUCCCAUGGGACCACUCUAACGAGCAGCACUUUGCUUUUGUCCUGGAAGUCUGUGUGCUCAGCUCAGUGCGAGGGGAGGGAGCCAAAGGCAGAAACUGCUCAGCUCUGCCUGAGCUGGUGAUACAGCUUCCUUUAUUAACUUGAGUUUGUGGUCUUAGUCUGAUGUUUUCAAUAUGUAAGAAUGACUCCAUUAUUUAAGACAAAUCAGACCUUCAGCAGUGAUCAGUGUUGUCUGCAGAGAUAUAUUUUCUCACCUGUACCCCACUGAGUCAGGAGCACCCUUCUAGCCCCUCACUCGGAGCCAAAAUCCAAGAGUAUGUCAUGUGUAACUGCUGAUGCUGGUGUUUUUCCUGGAGUGCAAUGAGGACUGUGCAUGUCAGUACCACCUGUUCCUCACCACUGUUCUUGUCAGUUUUCAAGAGUACCUACAGACUUCAUCUGAGGACAGAUUUUGGACAAGAAAAAUAGCUGGAGAUUGGCUCCUCACGUGAAGAACUUGUGCCUUAAGGAAGCAAGACAGGCAAAGCUACGGAGAGGAACAGAGCAGUGGAAUGAUUUAUUCAGGGUCACAGUGCAGGUCAGUGGCAAAGCCAAGAUCAGAGUCUACCUCCUGAUUUGUGCCAAGCCAUCAUGUAGAGCAUGGCCACAAAAAUGAAUGUUUCAGAAAUAUAUGUGCAAUAUAUAUGUAGGAGCUCACUAAUAUUGGAGAAUAUCCACUUACAACAAGGAGUCUUACCGACCAACCUUAAUAGCCCCUCCUUCUGCUGGCAUUGUUUCUCAUUACGUUCCAAAAGCUUGCGCAGUUCACCAGCUCUUCAUUCUGGGCUUUCCACUGCUUGCUAACACCAGAGGGGCUUCCACACGUCUUAUGGUAACAGCCUUUUAUUUGCCAAAACCUCUUCAGUGAGAUGACAGAUAAUGGGAGGAAUUCAGAUACGUUUAAAAUAUACUUCGUUUUAACAGCACCGAGACACUUAACUUGUCAGCAAUCCAAUUAUUAAUCAGAUUAAUGGACUUUUAUAAAUCCACUGCAUCCUCAGGACAAUUGCUUGGUUUAUGUUUCAUGCAUACAGAAUAAGGCUGCUCAUGAGCUAUAAGAACUUUUAAUAUGGAAACCAAGACUAAGAAGUAAUCCUUGGCUCGCUCUGCUACCACACCUUGCAUGCAAGAAUGCUGAUCAUUGCUGUAGGAGCAUCAUUUAAUUAAGGUUUUUAAUUAUUAUUAUUUCUGAGCAUAAUGCUAUUGAAGAAAAUCUGUCAGCAUUUAAUUAAGGACUAAAUACAGUCAUUCUUUCUAGCUGGUUCAGUAUCCACUUAGAAUUCCUAGGCAGCCAAAAGAGGAUACAGGUGGUAACAACAUUAAAGAUGUUUUUGUAUGGAAGUGGGGAUCUAAUUUGUUUCUGGAAAUUAAAUUUAUAUCUGAGAUUUUUAAUAAUCGUUCAAGAGAUGUUGAGCCCCCGACUGUAUUUGGAAGUAACGGGAAGAGGUGACCCCGUCGGGUCUCCAGCUUUCUCAGGGAGAGAGGUUUUGCAAAAUAAUUCAAGUUGAUGAUGUUCAUCCAGGGCACUUUGAGCCCCUGGAAUGCAGAGCGGUGAGGCAAAAGCAGCUCAUCUGCUGCAGCUUGUCCCUAAUGUGUCACAGCCAACUGGUUGUGCCCAUUUCUUACUGAACACGGCUGCGUUCCACAUACAAGGUUUAAUCCUACUGUACUGCUUUAUAAACUAAGGCUUUGAAAAUUAACUUGAUCAAAUUCAGGAUUUCAAAGAGAAGCUGAGAAACGAGUAAGACGUGAGUUCUGACCCCCACGAAGAAGGCAGGUCCAAAGCAAAUCAUGUGAAAGUAAAUAUUAAUUACUUUCAGUUAAUUUUAGCUCAGUUCUGAAGAUCGGUGUGUUCAGAACAGCCACUUCAGAAGCCACUGAUGUCGAUGUUGUGAUAGCAUUUUCCCCUGGAGUGUGGAUCAAGAGCAAGUGAAAUUAGCAGAGGCUUUGCUAUGGAUGGAAAAAGAUGCAGGCAGGGCGCUCUGAGGACUGGGUCAUGUUGAGCACAUGCAAAAGUGCUCUCCAGAAGAAUUGUCUCAUUUUGUAUCAGACCCUAUGUAAGCAAAAAGCACAAGCACAUUUAUAUCUGUGUGGGAGUGAACUUUUUAGGUCAGGAAAGCAAAGAACUAGGAAGUAUCUUGUGACGUCCCCCUGAAGGAAAGCCAGUAACAGAGGUUAUAUAUGUUACCUCUUCAUUUGACCAAUUUAAGCUUAAUUAUAACUCAGUCUGCACUUCAGCAUCGUUACUACUGAAACUUGCUUGUACACCUUUGUGCACUGCCUCCAAAGUGCUGCACAGCCUGACGAGCAGGGCCAGCUCACUUCCUGCUGCGGGAGUCCUGGGAGCAGAAAUAAUAAAUAACCAACCGCUCCAAAGGAGCCAUUAAACUUUUUCCAUCUCGGAUGAAGUAAACAGAUAUUGUACCUGGAAAUGCAAAGUCGUUGUCAAGUCCGUGUGUGUGUUUAAUCACUGUAUAUAUUUCCCCUGGAAUGAUUUAUUAGUUCCCUUUGUAGUUCUGUCACAGAGUUUACUUGCCAUUUCAACCCGAAAUAGCCAUUAAAUCAUUUUUUUCUCCUAGCAAGAGGUAAAUCUGUACUAUUUGCUGAUUUGUUUAUUGCUGUCUGGAAAGUUAAUCCUUCUCAAAGUCGGAGAUUUUAAAUAUGGCAGAUCGUCUUAAAGCUACAGACCACUCGUAGGGGUGACAUUAUGUGUGUUCCGAGAAAUGCAUUUUGAGUCCUACAAAUGAGUCCUUUAGUAAUACCCAGGAGUCAUAAUGUCUGUGACAUAAUGAACCCUCCUAAAUUACAGCCUACACUAAUUAGAUCGGUUCUUGCUACAUUCCAAUCUGUGAAACAAUUUACUGAAGAGGUGGUUACCUGCACUGAGCAGACACAGGGCUGUGUGUCAGCCACAUUUCUCCUCCGACCCCGAGCGCCACUGUGCUGCUGUCCUUUUGCAGGUGGCUGUGGGCAUCUGGUGCUCUGGAAGGCAUGGCAGCCCCGUCUUCCUGUUGCCGGUGCCAUUUAUGUGAUUAUUCUUCCGCUAUGUCUUCUCCGUUAAAUAUAUUUUGUCUCUUCAUUACAUCUUUCUUUACGUACUUGGUGGUAUGAUCAUAUUAUUACCGCUCACGUAAAGGAGUAUAUUCCCUCCUGCUGCCUCGUCUUUGUGCUCCCUCCUGCUCAUACGGCAUAAACCCCCGUGCUGGGGUGACGCUCCUGACCAAAGGCACGUGAAUCUUGGUGGGGAAAUGCUGCUUUGGACUCUGUGCCCGACCAAACUGUCAGUAAUUUUGCUGAGAACAGACAUCGGCAGGAGGCUGCUCUUGCACUGCGAGAGCUGGCACCGAGCUCUCAGCGGUACGAGCCGUCUGCUGGUCGCUCAGUGCUGCCUGCUUGGAAAUGGGAGCAGACAAAGGUCCAGACCAUGGCAUUGUGACAUACAUCUCAGCUUCAAGGCCAGAUCACUGCAGUGUGCCCCCAAACCCACAUGGCUGGGGCUGCUGCAGCGGGAGGAGAAGCUGGUGAACCCUGCACUUGGCAAAUGGCACUAGCAGCACUGCUUGAAUCUGCGUGCAGUCCGUCGCAGCUCCUCACAUGAAAUGUGCACGAGUCCUACUUCAGAAAUGGGAAAAUACACUCCAGGAGCACUUCUAGGGCUUAACUCUUCCCCUCCGUAGCGCCCACUCCUUACAAAAACAACACUGGCAGUUGUAGAUAGAAGGAAUUGACAUGGGAGACAACCAAGCUGCAGACUCCAGAGUAAGCAAUCGCAUGAAGGAAAAAAAUAGAUAUUAAUAUAGUUUAUUAACCUCCUUAGCUACUGAGGUUGAUGUAAUAAAACGGAUUAAUCAGCUGGUGGGAGAGUUUCUUUAUUUUAUAAAAUCAACAUCAAACAAGAUUUUCAGGGGGGAAAGGUUCUGUCCCAAAUCACUCGCCCAGCAAACAUCUCUGCGUGAAGCCCUCCACAGAAGCGAGGAGUGGGCUGUUUUAUUUUUGAUAAGCCAGGUGGACAAGAGCUCAUCUUCCCACAGUAACCCAGCGACUCAUGAGCCACAAGAGCUCUGGGUCUUAGGGCACAAACUGCCUUCAGAUAAACAGCAGUGCUUUCCAUGUGCCAGUGCCUUAACGAGGAACAAAGCCGAACAGAACAGACCGUAAUAAAAGUGCUCUUUCCAGCACGUGUGUAUGUGGCUGCUCUAUGCUGAAAAUGUCCUUUAGCACUUUUUAACCAUAUUCUCUAGCUGUGUCAGCAAAGAGACUCCAUCAGAGUAUUUAACAUUGCUGGGAGCAAAGGAAUAAAGUGGAGUCACUGUUGAUUAUUACUCAUUAGCCACAAGGACAUCCACUUAACAUGUGAAUAAAUGAAUGACACCAUGUCCUAAUGGAAAUGGCCUCGGAGUACCUUUAAGCAAAAUGUUGUUUAAUAUCUUCCAUUUGCUGAAUAGAAAAGAGGCCUGUUGGACAUGCAUAGCUUAGCAAGCAGCCAUUGUUGCUUUGUUCCAAUUUCAGCAUUUAAUAAAAAAAGACGUUGUCCCGAGCGCAGCGAGGGCUGGCCCCAAAAACGUGGGUAGCAGCACAGCCUCCUCCUCACCCUGCAAAUUCACCAGCAUUGUGAAGGGUUAAUAUCCUAUAAAGCAAAUGAACCCUUGGAAGGUGCGUGUUCUUCAUUAUGCUGCUUUACAUUCAAACAUAUAAAACAAAGAGCAUCUGAUAUCUUUAUUGGUUCUCUUAGAUAAAAUGCAAGCAAGCUAUAAGCCUUAAUUUUCUUAUUACCAUUUGUUAACAAGGAAGAUAACGCUCUCAAAAGUAUUUGAUUAGGACUCCCUUUGAUUUGUAUCUCGUCGUGAUUUUCAGGGCAUAUAUUUUUGUAUUACUCCUCCAGUACACUGAUAGUUCUGAUCAAAGCGAUAAAAAGAGGCAUUUUAAAACUGUGAGUGUGAACCGUACAGGUACAGCUCACAGCCUGAGCAGCACCCGAAGGCUCCGUGCUGGAGCACGCCUGGGAAACAAAUCACAGCGAUGCACGUCCCUAUCCGAGAGCCGCGGGCUGGGAGCCCUUCUGCUCCCCAGCCCUCUCAGCAGGAACUUUCGUCAUUUGCAACUUUUUUCUUUCAGUUUCUAAAACGUAGCUACUGAGAACAGUUGGGCAUAGCGCUAAAGCUAUUUGCUGUAUCAAAUAUCUAAACGCUCGUGAUCAGAUCCGUACCAGAAUACCCCUUUCCAGCUUUAACUUCCCGAGGAAAAUGAAAGCAAGCGCAUGAGCUGACGCGUCAGAUCUGGGGGGUUAUUUUCAUGCCCGUUCCGACUCCUGGCUGUAAAAACUAUGCGUGUGUCGGAGCCUUUACCUCAUGGUUUCCGUUCCUCCUGCACACGGCUGGCUGCACGGGGCACCUCUCAGCAUGGGGCUGCCUCCUGCCCUGCCCCACACUGCCCACUCGGCCCUGCACGGCCACCAGCCCCAGCCCCGUCCCACUGCUCCGCACUGCGCUCCUCGGGUGCAGGAAGGCGCAGGCAGGAGAUGAUUACAUCAAUCAGUGUCAGGGCUGGGAGCUGUGAUUUAUGAAUAUGCAUAAUGAGCUCUCACCUUUGAGAAGGACUAGCUAGGGAGAUAAUUGAUUAGACAGGAAAAGAGCAGCCAGCAGCGAGGAGGGAGGAGGAGAGGCCUCUCGGAGCUGUCGCGGGCCGGGCUGGGGCUGUGGGAGGCCGUCAGGCUGUGCGAAGUGAUUGCUAAAAAAAACACGAGCAGGGUUUUUAGUGUUUUGUUGAAACACACGUAGCAAAAUGUUUCCUCUGCCAAAUGAAUGGGAAUUUUCUCCACUUGGGGAACCCCACGAGCACCACCACGGCUGCUGUCCCCCGGGGAGCCGCGCUCCCACUGCCGGGAGCUGCGGGCGGCAGUCGCAGUGCUGCAGCCGAGCUCAGCACCAGCAGCCCGUGAGCAGGGGAUGCUGCGAUGCCGGGGGGUCGGGGGGCUGUCAUUAUUUUCUUCCACCCCCUUUUAAGUGUCUGUCUGACCACUGGGUGAAAGUUUCUAUGGAAAAGCUACCAGGACGCCCAGAGGAAGGGGAUGUGGAAAGUUCACCUCUAGCUCUGUCCCCCACCCCUCCCAUUUUACAUGACAUUAAUCUUUGUUGGGUUGUUUUUUUUUUUUUUUUCCUUUUUCUUUCCCUCAGCAAGAACUGGCAAAGGGGAAAGCAAAGACACAAAGUGCAGAGAGACGGGGUAACAUUUACAUGAGAAACAAUCCGCUCUCCAGCACCCACCCACGGCGCUUCCCCUCGUUUCAGGAGCUGUUGGAGCGCAGGAAGGGAACGGUUCCUGGCAGAGGGACAGCACUGCGAGGAGGCCGACGCGUUUCCAGGGCCAGGAGAGAACGUAUGUGAGAAGGGGACGUGGGGGGAAUGGGGCCGACGGCCUCACUGGGGCACGCGGCCUGCAUGGGGAUGGGGCUGUGGGACACGCGAUGCACACACAAACAGACGGCUAUAGGUGUGAGCACACACACACACACGUAUUGCUGCCUACCGACGCCGAGGACGUAAGAUGCAGUUUAUGGGCCCAGCGCAACCCGCUCCUAUAAAUAAUACAUUCCGAUCACCGUGGCCUCAAAAUGUCAAUACCGCGCAGCCCCGCACAUCUGCAUAUCUCGAACUGUCUCAACUUGAAGCAUGUCAGCUAUGUGCUCCUGUUUGUACUUUAACUUCAUCUCAGCUCCGGCCGAGCCCCGCGCCGCCCCCCGCGCGGCUCCGUCACGCAGCGA